UGCGAAAGGAGAGAAAGAGAGAAAACGAGAGGAGGAAAAGAGGAAACAAGCCCGGCCUUUUUCUGCUUGCCUGCUUAAAUUUUCCACCCCUUCCACUCUUCGAAUUGUGCUUUCCUCUUCUUUCUUUCUUUCCUCUUCUCCCUCAUCAUUGUGCAA
rnacentral:ribozyme from 1 species